rnacentral:rRNA from 1 species
AUGAACGCUAGCGGCAGGCCUAACACAUGCAAGUCGAGGGGCAGCACAGGUAGCAAUACUGGGUGGCGACCGGCGGAUGGGUGCGUAACGCGUAUGCAACCUACCAUUGAUUGGGGCAUAGCCCGAAGAAAUUCGGAUUAAUACUCCAUAAUAUUCAUCAAAGGCAUCUUUUAUGAAUUAAAGCUUUUGCGAUCAAUGAUGGGCAUGCGUGACAUUAGUUAGUUGGUGAGGUAACGGCUCACCAAAACGAUGAUGUCUAGGGGUUCUGAGAGGAUUAUCCCCCACACUGGUACUGAGACACGGACCAGACUCCUACGGGAGGCAGCAGUGAGGAAUAUUGGUCAAUGGACGCAAGUCUGAACCAGCCAUGCCGCGUGCAGGAUGACGGCCCUAUGGGUUGUAAACUGCUUUUCCACGGGAAGAACCUUCCGACGUGUCGGAGACUGACGGUACCGUGGGAAUAAGCAUCGGCUAACUCCGUG